AUGCGUCCUGCCCAGCAGCGACGCGAGCGCGGCGCCAGCUCCCCGCCGCCAGAAGCAGGAAACCGCACCGCGCUGCACCUCAGGGAUGUUCCCACAAAACGCGGCCGCGCACCGCGCUUCGCCAAUGCGAAGCGCCCGUGCGGUUUCCCAAAGGCUUGCGAAACUGCAGAGGCGCAACCCCAUCCUGCUCAGAUAAGGGGGGCAGCGGCGCCCGGGCGGCGACAGCCUUCCUCCGCCGCAGCGGGGCAGCGGCGAGGCGAGGGCGCCGGCAAGCUGUUAGCUGGUGCGCRGACAGCUGGCUUAAACGUAUGUGAAGACCCACAAAUGCGUAUGGCCUUGCACGGCUCCCUCAGAGAAGUUAAGGGCUGCAAUGCCACGGGCGCUCCCGUUGAACACCUUGCUGUCUGCCUGGUUUUCCCAGCCCUGCCUGAGAGGACCACUUAUUUUUCAACAGCCCCCUCUUGUCCUCAGGCAUUUCCAGGCUCUGACGGAUGUGAGCCACAUGCUUUAUUUCAUCCUUGGUAAAAGUUAACAUUAUUGUUUUGUAUGGGGGAUAAGGGGACGACAGGGCAGGAGUGCCAGUAAUUAAAAACGUGUGUGUGUGUGCACAUGCACAAAUGCAUACAUGCACACACACUAAUGUGGCAAACAGGCCACUUCUGUUUCUGCUUGGUUGCGUUUUUUUUUUUUUUCCAUCCCACUUUAUUCCUGUAAGCAUGACUAUCUGCCUACUAAGAUGUGCAAAGCAAUGGAUAGGCCGUUCCCAAUAAGAAUCAGACCUCAGCCGGUGCUGCAGCGAGCUCCAGAUCUGGUGUAAAAGGUCAUGGCUGAACGAUCCCUCUGAGCCACGGCUACUGCCAGGAGCAGCAGCUGUGCUCUCCCCUUGCUUGUUCAUCCUGGCCCUUGCCGCAGACUCUCUUUUGAACUGGUGAGAUCGCUUGUGCUGCCACGUGGUGAGUCAGACUGCAGCACAGAGCUAAGCAAAAACUAGCCCUACCCUUUUUGCCCUCUCUGCUCCUUCCUUYCCCAUGCCUCCCCAAAAACAAACCCAACCCCAGCCAAGUUUGAGUUAAAAGUUGAAGGGAAUAGUUAYUAGUAUGAAGUUUAGAAUAAGGUAAUAGAAAACAGAGAUAAUUCAGUAGUACUUGACAGCUUUUACGCUUAGGUUAAUAGCAAGGAAUGACUUUUUGUAGUCUGAUCAGAACCAGGUCACUUUAGUCUCGAGCUGGCAGCUGGAAUGAUGAAUAGAAAGCUUAUGUUCACAGCAGUUGUGCAUUGUGUGUUUGACACACAAAUCAGGACUUUUGUUUAUCUUUUGAAUUCAUGUAGGAGUCCAUAAAGAAAAAAAGUUUCCUUCCAUCCCUUCAGAAGUGUCAACUUCUGUUCCUCACAGAGAUAAUUCAGUUUACGUUAUUGAAGCUCAUUCCUUUGUACCRGCAUUAACUACACAGUCAAGUACCCACAUCUGAGAUUUGUCGUUAGGGAAGAGAACCUGAUCAGCUGUAAGGUGACAACCAUAAUAGAGAAAAAAUUAUUUUAAUUUGUGUUUAACAUAAUUUAAUCAAUCCCUCUUUAUAUGGUAAGACUUCCUGCCUCUAAAUAUAAUCUAUGGUCUGCUCUCUUCUCUUCAUACUUGUCUAGUUAUUUCCUGCCAUAGAUACCUGUUCCAAAUUAUUUAUUUGAAUUUGAAGCUCUUCUCAGAUGGAGAGAUGGUGUCACAUUUCAGCCAGGGCCUUUGAAAAUGUUGACCAUUUGUUGUCUUUCCCUGUAUGCAUCCUACGAAUCCAGAAAAAUAAAGGCAAAGAUUUUAUAUACUAAUAUAUAAAA
ensembl:lncRNA